rnacentral:tRNA from 1 species
CGCGCGAAAGGUAAAGUCGUCGAGCCGUCGGUCUGCAAAACCGACUUACCCGGUGCGAGUCCGGGUCGCGCGUCCA